rnacentral:rRNA from 1 species
AACGAACGCUGGCGGCAUGCCUAACACAUGCAAGUCGAACGAAGCCUUCGGACUUAGUGGCGCACGGGUGCGUAACGCGUGGGAAUCUGCCCUUGGGUUCGGAAUAACAGUUAGAAAUGACUGCUAAUACCGGAUGAUGUCUUCGGACCAAAGAUUUAUCGCCCAAGGAUGAGCCCGCGUAGGAUUAGGUGGUUGGUGGGGUAAUGGCCCACCAAGCCGACGAUCCUUAGCUGGUCUGAGAGGAUGAUCAGCCACACUGGGACUGAGACACGGCCCAGACUCCUACGGGAGGCAGCAGUGGGGAAUAUUGGACAAUGGGCGAAAGCCUGAUCCAGCAAUGCCGCGUGAGUGAUGAAGGCCUUAGGGUUGUAAAGCUCUUUUACCCGGGAUGAUAAUGACAGUACCGGGAGAAUAAGCUCCGGCUAACUCCGUGCCAGCCGCCGCAGUAA